rnacentral:misc_RNA from 1 species
AAAAAAAAGAAAAAAAAUCCCCAAUCUCCAAUGGCAAAAUCCACAAAAAUUCUCUCAUCAAUCCUCAUUCUCUUCUUCAUUUUCAGUCUAUUUUCUUCAUCAAACGCAUUAGGCGGAAAGCUCGGCGGAAGAACACAAAUCAAAAACGUGAAAACAAAUCAGGAAAUUCAAGAUCUAGGUAAGUACUGUGUCGAAGAACACAACAGAGAUUUGCGGCAUAUCAAUGGUGCUUUGAGUUCUUUAUUGAGUUUUUCUCAAGUUGUUGAAGCAGAAAAACAAGUUGUUUCUGGUGUUAAAUAUUAUCUAAAAAUCUCAGCUAUUGUUAAAUCAUCUAGCUCACCAAAAUUGUUCGAUGCUGUUGUUGUUGUUAAAGCUUGGGAGAAGAAGAAGGAAUUGCUUACGUUUUCUCCUUCUCCUUCACCGGCUACAAAGUGAAUUUUCGAUGGUUGAUAGUGGCUAAAAGUUAAAACUUCUAGUAGUGCUAAUGUUGUUUAAUCUAAUUUUGAAGUACUUUAAUUUGUAGCCUUUUUAUUUUUUUUAACCUAUUUUGAGUUCUCUUGUGUACUAUGUGAUGCA